CAGCGACUGCAUCUCCUACAUCAACAAAUUCUCAACAACAACCACAGCAUCGCCAACAACUGAGACUUCUACAACGACAAGUGGUUCAACAGCAUCCACAACUAUGU